CAAUGGCUGAGAGGCUACUCCAGGCUUCCCGGCAACGCCGAGCAAAAGCCAUGACGGCCGCCGCGGGUUCGGCGAGCCGGGCCGCCCUGCCCCUGCUGCUCUGCGCUCUCCUGGCGUUCGGCGGCGCGUACGUGCUCGACGACUCCGACGGGCUGGGCCGGGAGUUCGAUGGCAUCGGCGCGAUCAGCGGCGGCGGGGCAACCUCCCGGCUUCUAAUAAAUUACCCAGAGCCCUAUCGUUCUCAAAUAUUGGAUUAUCUCUUCAAGCCAAACUUCGGUGCCUCUUUGCAUAUUCUAAAAGUCGAAAUAGGUGGUGAUGGGCAGACAACAGAUGGCACUGAGCCCUCCCACAUGCACUACGCAUUAGAUGAGAAUUACUUGCGAGGAUAUGAGUGGUGGUUAAUGAAGGAGGCUAAGAAGCGGAACUCUAAUAUCACACUCAUGGGGCUGCCGUGGUCAUUCCCUGGAUGGCUGGGGAAACGUUUCGACUGGCCUUACGUAAACCGUCAUCUGACUGCCUACUAUAUCGUGUCCUGGAUUGUGGGCGCCAAGCGUUAUCAUGACUUAGACAUUGAUUAUAUUGGGAUUUGGAAUGAGAGGUCAUUUGACAUCAAUUAUAUCAAGGUUUUAAGAAGAAUGCUGAACUAUCAAGGUCUCGAGCGAGUGAAAAUCAUAGCGAGCGACAACCUCUGGGAGCCCAUUUCUGCUUCUAUGCUGCUCGACGAGGAGCUCAUGGAAGUGGUUGACGUUAUAGGAGCUCAUUAUCCUGGGACCCACACAGUCAAGGAUGCACGGCUGACUAAGAAGAAGCUUUGGUCUUCUGAAGAUUUUAGCACUCUGAACAAUGCCAUGGGCGCCGGCUGCUGGGGUCGCAUAUUGAAUCAGAAUUAUGUCAAUGGCUACAUGACUUCAACAAUUGCUUGGAAUGUGGUGGCCAGUUACUAUGAGCAGUUGCCCUAUGGGCGCAGCGGGCUGAUGACUGCUCAGGAGCCCUGGAGUGGGCACUACGUGGUGGAAGCUCCUAUCUGGAUAUCAGCGCAUACUACUCAGUUUACUCGACCAGGUUGGUAUUACCUGAAGACAGUUGGCCAUUUAGAGAAAGGAGGAAGCUAUGUAGCUCUGACUGAUGGCUUAGGUAACCUCACCAUCAUCAUUGAAACAAUGAGCCAUAAACAUUCUAAGUGUAUACGGCCACUGCUUCCUUAUUUCAACGUGUCACACCAAAUUGCUACCUUCUUUCUUCAGGGUUCUUUUAGUGAAAUACCAGAGCUGCAGGUGUGGUACACCAAGCUUGGGAAGUCAUCGGAGAGGUUUCUCUUUAAACAACUGGAUUCCCUAUGGCUCCUCGACAGCAGCGGCAGCUUCACAGUGGAGCUGCAAGAGGACGAGCUGUUCACACUCACCACUCUCACCACCGGCAGCAAAGGCAGCUACCCGCCGCCUCCCAAGUCCCAGCCCUUCCCACCCAUCUACACGGAUGACUUCAACGUUGAAUACCCGUUUUUCAGUGAAGCCCCGAAUUUUGCUGACCAGACGGGCGUGUUUGAAUACUUUAUGAAUUCGGAAGACCCCGGCGAGCACCGCUUCACGCUGCGCCAAGUUCUCAAUCAGCGACCCAUUACGUGGGCUGCGGACGCGGCCAGCACCAUCAGCAUUAUCGGGGAUUACAAGUGGUCCAAUAUGACCAUCACGUGUGAUGUUUACAUAGAGACCCCUAGGAAGGGAGGUGUGUUCAUUGCCGGAAGAGUAAAUAAAGGUGGCAUCUUGAUUAGAAGUGCCAGAGGGAUUUUCUUCUGGAUUUUUGCAAAUGGAACCUACAGAGUUACAGGUGAUCUGGCUGGAUGGCUCAUAUAUGCUGUAGGGCAAGUUGAGGUUACAGCACAAGAAUGGUAUACACUCACUUUAACUAUUAAGGGUCAUCUCUCCUCCGGCACGUUGAAUGGCAAGCUUCUGUGGUCAGAGGUCCCAGUGAAUUUCCCCAAGAAUGGCUGGGCUGCGAUUGGAACUCACUCCUUUGAUUUUGCACAGUUUGACAACUUUCACGUGGAUGCCACACCCUAAUAUUCACAGAGCACCGUAGAACACUCUUUGGAUUUUUUUUCUUUCUUUUUGGUUUGGUUCAGAGCCAAUUCUUUUUUUUUUUUUUUUUUUGAUGGAUUGAUAUAUAAGCCUUUGGAGGCUAAAAAUAAUGAAGAGUAAAUGAGGAAGAAAUAUGUUUUUAUUUGAUCAUGUGGAAGAUAUUUUUAGAACCGGUUCCAAGGGGAAAAACAGGUGAAUCUUUAACAUCACCUGGUGUGUACCCUACUCUUCAAAUGGUACAUUGGUUCCACCCCUAGGAGGGCUUUGGGUGGUCCAGACCUUGACACUUGGUGUCACUGCUGAGACCGCCCUCGUCAUCUUAUUUGGAAGUGAUCAUGCAGGUGGGCCGGAAGGAGGAAGAAAAUACCCUACAGCCAAUGCUGUACGUGGGUCUAAAGAUGAAAUUGAAGGAAAUUUUCUUGAAUCAUUUCAUGUGCUUUUCCUGGUUUGUCUUCUCAUGGGUCACUGGGAAGAGAUUAAAAGAGUCCAUGAAUGAAUUUUUUUUAUCUGCUUGUAUGCAGAAGAAGGGGGGCACUUAGCUAGUUGCUAAUGCCUAGAAUUGGAUCUAAUAUUUUGUGUGGUUAGAUGCAUUUAUGUCAUAUACUACCAAUGCAUUUAUAGUUAAGUAUGGGUGAGCAUAUUUGUCAUGCAGUAUAGUUUAUGUUUAAGAAUUAGUGUACGUCCUAGAAACAACUCAGUCAUUCAUGUGGAUAAAGUAAAUUCUGGAAUUCUUUGGAAAGUUUAAAGCUUCAAUGAACCGAUUCUUCAAUUUUGAAAUUUAUAAUCGUUUCAUAUAGGCUAAACUGACAUGAAAUUUUGUAUUACUAUUAAACUCAAGAAACGAAAUAUUAGAAUAAAUCAGAUUACAGAGAAAAAAUUUAAAUUUAAACCAUGUCUAAGUGAUUUCCAGUUCAGUCCCUACAUAUUUUUAAAAAACUAACUUUACUGAAGUAUAACUU